GAAAUGCGAUAAGUAGUGUGAAUUGCAGAAUUCAGUGAAUCAUCGAAUCUUUGAACGCACAUUGCGCCCCUCGGCAUUCCGUGGGGCAUGUCUGUUCGAGCGUCAUCUACACCCUCAAGCUCUGCUUGGUGUUGGGCGUCUGUCCCGCCUCCGCGCGCGGACUCGCCCCAAAUGCAUUGGCAGCGGUUCCUUGCCCCCCUCUUUGCGCAGCACAUUGCCAUUCGAGGCGGCGGCGGCCCGCGUCCAACAAGCUCAACCCCCCCGUCUUUGACCUCGGAUCAGGUAGGGAUACCCGCUGAACUUAAGC
rnacentral:misc_RNA from 1 species